UACAGAGGGUGCGAGCGUUUGUCCGGAAUCACUGGGCGUAAAGGGCGCGUAGGUGGUGGCUUAAGCGUGCGGUGAAAGCUCGGGGCUCAACUCCGAGUCGGCCGUGCGAACUGGGCUCACUGGAGCAUAGUAGAGGCAGGUGGAAUUCCGGGUGUAGCGGUGGAAUGCGUAGAGAUCCGGAAGAACACCGGUGGCGAAGGCGGCCUGCUGGGCUAUGGCUGACACUGAGGCGCGACAGCGUGGGGAGCGAACAGG
rnacentral:rRNA from 1 species